rnacentral:lncRNA from 1 species
GCACCCUGCACAAUCGGAGGUAAAGGAUAUCACAGGAAACCCAAGUCAGCUUUUCCCCUUCAUGAGGUAACUCCCUGGAACAACCAACACAGUCUUUUUCAUUUACGUACCUAACAGUAAGUAACACUUAAAUAGCAGACAAUAUGUUCAAAGCUCAAACAUUAACUGGUUUAGUGAGUUAAGAAGAGAGAUAYUGUCUGCAAUUGCUUGGGGCAGAAUGUGCUGAAGGAGCAGAAAUUUACCUUUCAACUAGGAAACUACAAAAUAGCUUCAAACAAUCCCUUUAAAAUAUGGAAACAAUCCAACAACUGCUAGCUUACUUGCAUGUGACAAUAACUCUUAGAGACUUUUGCCACAUUUCAGCCACAGAAAAUUUAAGCUAUUCUUGCAUUUAAGAAUAACCACCAUUUAAGAGCCUUUGGGAAAAUGCUACCUGAAAAAAAAAGAUUAAUAUUUCAGGUCAAUUCCAUUACAGUAGUUUUGAAGACUUCUGAACUGAAGCUGGUAUCUCAGAAGUAGAUGCUGCGGGUUCUCCUCUACAAGUAAACAUCACUCUUUCCCUUCUACCCUUUCAACUGACAAUAUUUUGCCUUGUGUAAAGUACCUACACAUCUCCUCAACCUGCCUUCCAGAUACAAUAGCAGAGUUGAAAAGGAAAAGCUAGCAUGCAGAAAAGAGAAAGAGCAAGGCCAAGACUAAACACAAAACUGACAGCAGAAUUACAGAAAAAAAAAAGUCUUCCAUCUUCCAAAUCUCUCCACUUCAGUUCCUUUCAUUGUUCCUUUCCUGGAAAUAAGUUUACUGGGUUUUGCUCUCAGCAAAAAACGUGAACUCUGUGCUGACUAGAGCUACACAAAAGAACUUACUCACAAAGUGAAGAGAACGCUGGUUAGAUCUUCACGAUUUAUCUGAAGUUCCGUCACUUCCCUCCCCCCCCCGGAACCGCCGAUUGUCCCAAGAGCCUCCCCCUCCCCCGCAAUAUCCUCAGGGAAGAGCUUAGAAAACUGUGGAAAAACGCUCAGAAGAGCUUAGAAAGCUGUGGAAAACGGAACACGAGAAGCGCCCCCCCCCCAAGCAGGGUCCCCUCCGAAGAGCGCGGGGAGGGGGACGGGGACCGCUGCGGGGCCAGGAAGGAGAUCAGCCCACGCAGAAACAAAGCGCGC